rnacentral:rRNA from 1 species
GAGCGGGUGCCAAUUUGUAGCAAUACAGAUGAAGCGCUAGCGGCAGACGGGUGAGUAACACGUAGCCAAUCUACCUUUCCGCCCGGGAUAACUAAUCGAAAGGUUAGCUAAUACCUGAUACGAUCGUCGAGCGGCAUCGCUUGACGAUGAAAGCAGCAAUGCGCGGAUUGAGGAGGCUGCGGCCCAUUAGCUAGUUGGUGAGGUAACGGCCCACCAAGGCGACGAUGGGUAGCUGGUCUGAGAGGACGACCAGCCACACUGGGACUGAGACACGGCCCAGACUCCUACGGGAGGCAGCAGUGAGGAAUUUUCCGCAAUGGGCGAAAGCCUGACGGAGCGACGCCGCGUGCACGAGGAAGGUCUUCGGAUCGUAAAGUGCUGUCGAGGGGGACGAUUAUGACGGUACCCCUGGAGGAAGCCCCGGCUAACUACGUG